rnacentral:tRNA from 1 species
GGCUUGAUAGUCAAAAUCAAUGAUUUUAAAUUGCAAGUUUAAAGGUAAGUAAUUUUUUGAGCCU